rnacentral:rRNA from 1 species
UACGAAGGGGCUAGCGUUGCUCGGAAUUACUGGGCGUAAAGGGAGCGUAGGCGGACAUUUAAGUCAGGGGUGAAAUCCCAGAGCUCAACUCUGGAACUGCCUUUGAUACUGGAUGUCUUGAGUGUGAGAGAGGUAUGUGGAACUCCGAGUGUAGAGGUGAAAUUCGUAGAUAUUCGGAAGAACACCAGUGGCGAAGGCGACAUACUGGCUCAUUACUGACGCUGAGGCUCGAAAGCGUGGGGAGCAAACAGG